UUUCUAGAUAAUUAUGUAUAUUCUUCUAUUCUACACCCAAACUUAAAGGUCAAAAUUACUAAAAUUAGUAAUUUUGCUAUUUCAACAUCUAACAAUUGUCACAACAUUCUUGGGUGAAAUUGAUUUCCCUUCUCACAAGUGCAUGGGAGUGACUAGUACAAUGACUGCUGGAACAGCUUGGUGCCACCACCUAGAUCCAUGACAAGGCCUCUGUGAUUUUACCUCCACUGCUUUUCUGUUAUCAGUGCAAAUGCCAACAAAGUGAAAAAGGCCAAUAAUGUCUCAGCAUUAUUAUGAAAAUAUAGUGAUGACCUUGUGGACCCUCCAAAAGGAUCUGGUGGACCCCACGGUGCGGCAGCCCACUCUUUGAGAACUGCUCAUCUAGGUCGUGUCUUUUUGGCCUAGUUUAUCCAUCAACUAAUUCCCAUCCACUUUCUUUCAGAGGUAUUUUGAAUUCUCUCUUUUGUUUUUUUUUUUCAGGGAAGGACUCAUCCUAAGCUAACAUCUGUUGCCGAUCUUCCUUUUUUCCCUCCCCGAAGCCCCAGUGUGUGGUUAUAUGUCCUAAUGGAAAAGUUUGACUCAGCAGGUUCAGGUGUUCAAACUCCACACAUUGCAGAGAACUUCCGGCCCUUGGCUGCUUCUGGGACAUCAUCUCAAAACCCUUGGAAUAUCCUGCCUCAUCUCAGAAAUGGAGCUUGUUGGAGUUGAGAACAGAGAGCAGAUCAGUCAACACCCUCAAUUUCCAGUUGAGACGAUGAAAGCUGAGAGGAGUAACAUGACUUCCCCAAGGUCACAAGCAUCAUCAUCAUCAUCAUCAUCAAUACUCAAGGAGCGACGCUUGGGUCAUACCCAUGGCUACCCCUGGUCACAGGAUAAAUUGGAACAAACAGAGCCCCGUGAUUGGAGAAAAGGUCCCUUGGAGCGACAAGGACUGAAGAAGUGAGUGUUUUGGAUAACAGCUGGUAAAAGAGGCCUCAAGCUCCAAAGCGUAGAUCUCAGUUGUAAAGCGCUGUGCCACCUUCGCUGAGGCCAGAAGUAAGAAAACUUUCUACCAAAGGACAGAUGGCUGUGAAUUCUUUUAUGACAAAGUGCUGUUACCGAGCACGGGCUUGCCACCUGAUGCCCACAGAAGCUGACACCGUGGCACCCUGGUUUUUGAGGGAAGAAAGGCUGUGCUGCUAGACGGAUCUGCAAGGUGACAGGAGGCAUACGCUCUCAGAUCUAUCUCCCCAUUCAGGGCUUGGGGCAAAAUUUCUGGGUUGAAAGGCAGUGUGGUCUGAAGUGUGGA